rnacentral:lncRNA from 1 species
CAGUUUUCCAUGGCCAUGCCCAAAUCUUCUCCAAGAGCGCCCUCUGCUGGAUGACAUCAGGACCCCGACAGCCUCAGCCAUCUUGGAAGUAGAGCCAACUGGAGUUUUGAGAGAAUAAAAAGGAAGGUUGGAGAGAAAGGGGGUUGGUGUUUUGGGUGGGGAAGGGAAGAUAUUUGAGGGGAGGGAGAGAGGGGGAGGGGAGAUUACCACACUGGGAAGCUCCGAGGCACCUCUAUUUGAACACCAUCCUAAAAUAAGAUGUGUUCCAUCCAUGACGUCCUUAUGCCGCUCUACUUCUAUUUCAAUGUAUUAACUUAGUACUAAAAGAUGAUCACAUGUUUUAAAAGAAAAGAAGCAGAUGGGGAGACCCACAGGCAAACAUCAGGCAGAGUUUGGGUGACUUGUGAAAGAAUGGGGGAUAGAACUGAACAAGCCGGAGAGAUCAAGGACACCACAAGAAGACCUACAGAGUCAACUAACAUGGGACCGUGGGGGCUCACAGAGCCUGGACCACCUACCAGGGAGCAUGCAGGAGCUGGACCUAGACCUCCUACACUUUUGUAGCAAAUGUGCAGCUUGGUCUUUAUGUGUGUUCCCUAACCAAUGGAGCUGGGUCUGUCUCUGUCUUUGUUCCCUGCCAUUGCAUCUCCUUGUGGUGCUGAUGUGACUUAACGGAGUCCUCAGGGUGGAGACUAUAGUUGCAGUGGUAGCUUCAUGAGUAGAGGAAGAGAGAUUUUAGCCUGGCAGUCUUUCUGUCACAUCAUGUGAUGUGAAGUGCCAUCGUGGGAACUCCAUCAGUAAGAGGGUCCUCAGCACACAGGACCCUUUGACCUUUUGCACUUCUCUGCCUCCAGACAGUGAGAAAUACACUAACUUCCUUUGCAAGUAACCUAGUUUGUGGAGA